AGAGCAUGCGGUUGCCCUCUGACGAGAUUGCCAUGGGACUGAAGAGGAGAAAUCCAGAGGCUAGGAGCAAUCUGAAGAGAGGUGAUGAAGGGAAAGAGGGAAAAAGAGAUGUGCAAGACAGCCUGAAAAGUGCAAACAGAGGAAGAGACAGUGCCACUCCUAUCCGGGACAGCUGCCACCAUGGGACAGAUGAGAACGACUGACAACGGAGUGAACUUCAGAGACACGACGGAAUGUCGCUUGAGAAAAUUAGCGCUGACUCAGCUCUUUUGGCCCAUCUAGAUGAGGAGCAGGACGUUACGGGCAUUUUAAUACUGACAAAUACAUACGUAAUGUGUGAUAGAUAGUGUACAGUCAGUUAGUUAUAAUGGCAAAAUAUUUUACAAUAAUGAUGACUGAUUGUACAUUAUGCCUCGUUACACAGUGACUCAGCAAAUACAUUUGCAGACAUUACAUGUUGAUUUUUUUUUUUUAAUAUUUUAUCAUUUACAAAAUACUAAAUAAUAGUCAUUUAUAUGUUAUAGCUGCACUGUAAAAAUCCCAUCCUUCACAUGAUGCAGCUGAUUGGAUUAUUUUCAUAUCAGCAGCCAAUGAGUUUGCUGCUCAAUAUUAAAACGCUAAUUCUUUUCCAUUUGUCUUUCUUUUCCUACCCUGGGAUGCCCAUCUCCAGCUAUCUAGAGAUUACACCAGCUCCAGUGUGGAUCCAGUCUCAUAGAAAGACUUCAGAUGACCCAACACCUUUGAAGAGAUGAUGCUGACCCCUGCAAGGACCCCAGAUGUCGCCAACUUGAAUCGAUUUUCACAGGCUGCAAAACAACACAAUUUAAUUAUUUUAAAGGGUGGGGAUUCUUUUCUAUUCCCACUGUACUUCCUUCGCCAGCUGAGGAAGUUUAACCUGCCACAGGAGCUGCUGAAACAGUUCUACUCAGCCAUCAUUUAGACUGUACUGUGCACUUCAAUAACUGUCUGGUUUGAUUCAGCUACAAAAUCAGACAUCAGAAGACUACAGAGAACGGUUCGGACUGAAAGGAUUAUUGGUGCUCCCCUGCCCACCCUUCAAGAAAUGUAUACAUCCAGAGUAAGGAUAAGGGUUCAGAAAAUCACUCUGGAUCCCUCACAUCCAAGUUACCCCAUCUUUGAACUUUUGCCAUCUGGCCAGCGCUUCAGAGCCGCAAAUACCAGGACAGUCAGGCACAAGAACAGUUUCUUCCCCCAG